GUUCUCUUUACUGUUGUUAUGGGUUUGAUCUGGUUAGGCCGUUAGGGUCGCCCUCUCCAUCCUCUGAUCCGACAUAUAUAUGCACUAGGGGUUUGGUCGAUUCAGUACUGGCGUGCCAGCACCGUGGGGUGCAGUCGUCGGAGAAUCGCUUGACUUGAUUUCUUCUCAAACGCCGUGGACGAGGAGAGCACCAACCUUGUCACCAGGUUCUUCUCUAUGCCUUUCAGAAAAGGGCUUUGGUUGUGAUCUCUUCGCGUCACCGAAUCGAUACUCAAUGUUGUAGGCUGAGCAGAGUAAUCACUGGGAAGUUUGGAGAAAGCACGGGUUUGGUCAAAGCGAUGGAAGAGCAUGAUUACAGAUAAAGAUGGACACGCUCUCGAGUAUCUGAAUGAUAUCGAGUCCAGUAGGACAGCUAAUUUGAAAGGAUUUGAGCUGAAGUUCAUCUUUGACGACAAUACCUUUUUUAUGAAUAAGGUCUUGACUAAAAAGUAUGAGUUGACGGGUGACAACGACUCU